GCUUACGGCCAUACCAACCUGGCUAUGUCCGAUCUCGUCUGAUCUCGGAAGCUAAGCAGGUUUGGGCCUGGUUAGUACUUGGAUGGGAGACCGCCUGGGAAUACCAGGUGCUGUAAGCU
ensembl:rRNA 5S_rRNA 5S ribosomal RNA